CAAGACUUGAAAGAGAUUUCUUAAGAUAUCUUUCCUCUGUGGAAUUCUGCUAGUUUAACAAAGGUAAUUCUGCUAGUUUCCGGUAAUGAAAAAUCCCACCAGAUCGAACACAUCGGCCUGCAAAUAACCACCAAUUCGCAGAAUCUGUUCAGAGCCACGAAUGAAUGGGCAUGCUAUUCGGUGUAAUGGGUUUUUGAUAUACCUGAAAGGCCUUGUGGUCAAGGAUGCCGUCCACAGAUCGAUAGCGAAAAACAACCAAGUCUGGGGCGGUCUUGCGGACAAACCAAUCCUUGCUAGAGUGGAACCUUGAUGGAGGGCUCGUCGUCAGUUGGGGCAGUGGAACCACGCGUCGUCGUCUUCAGGCUCCACCAAAAGUGCACGAUAGUUACCUCCUCGAUGGAUCCAUGCGCAGUUUCGUUGGACGCGCGCGCCGUCGAGGACUCAUGGUGCCGGUGGAGUG
rnacentral:lncRNA from 1 species